rnacentral:rRNA from 1 species
ACGUAGGUGGCAAGCGUUGUCCGGAAUUACUGGGUGUAAAGGGAGCGCAGGCGGGGAAUCAAGUUGGAUGUGAAAUACCGCAGCUCAACUGCGGGGCUGCAUCCAAAACUGGAUCUCUUGAGUGAAGUAGAGGUAGGCGGAAUUCCUAGUGUAGCGGUGAAAUGCGUAGAUAUUAGGAGGAACACCAGUGGCGAAGGCGGCCUACUGGGCUUUAACUGACGCUGAGGCUCGAAAGCGUGGGGAGCAAACAGGAUUAGAUACCCUGGUAGUC